UUCUCUCAGAAAAACCUAAAUUUUCCCAGUUUCAGAACUAUUUAUCUUUUUAUCCUUCACUUCACCAGAAAUUUCUUUACAUCAUUCGAUCGAGAAGAGCAUAGAAAAACCUAUCCAUCUACUAAAUCCCCGUAAACCAAAUCGAUAACCCUCCAUCCCCGAAUCUCUCUCCCAAUCUCUGCUCAAACAAAGAAGAUGUAGAUUAUGUUGAUGAAGAGGGAGAAAUGGUUUUCAGCAACAAAAGAUGAUGACUACAAGUAUGGAGAUGGAGAUGGAGAUUUUGUGAAAUAAUAAGACGGUAAGAACAACUAUUAGUCCUCUAUUUAGGUUUUGAACUCUGAACAUUGAAUUUUGAUUUUGAGGUUCUAGACUUGUUAUCUCAAUUGAAUUUUGACAAUCUAAGUCAAUUUAAUUUCAACAAAAUUAAAGGUAUUGAGUUUGUUAUAUAUGUGUACAAAAGUUAUGGUGACAAUUUCCUAACAAGUUAUGCCGGAACCUGUAACCUGUUUUGCAAUGCCUUAGCGAUUCGAAGAGACAGUAAUGAUUGUGAGCUUUUAUGGCAAGGCGAUGCGAUGAUGAUGGAGCUUAAAUGGAGGCUAAAUUUGUUAAACACUUACCUGUGCAUUGAUGGAAACUAAUUUAUAAAUGAUCUACAAAAUAGGAAUCGAUGAUGUUUUUGUAAAGACUGUGAUUGGGGUACUUCUGGAGCUCCAAAUUGGGUGAAAUGCCCAGCGGCGGUGUCUUUUGGUUCUGGAGGAGAACUUGUUUCAUAUAAAAAUAGUCAGUCAGCUACCAAUCCACCUACUGGAGGUUCCGAGGAUACAGGGAUUAUUCAACAUUCCCUUAACGUAUUGAUUUUUGAGUAACUGAGGGGAGCUGUUGGAAGUGUUUUUGUUGAUUUUACUACGCCACUCAGCAAUGCCGAAUAUAACUGCCUCAUUAAUGUUAUACUGGAUCCAAGUGGAAGUUAUACGAUGCAAUACUUUGGAGAUGUGUCACUAGGUCAUAUGAUUAUGAGGCAUAAAACUUCUGUAAUCCUAUAGGAGAGACUAAAUUAAAUGUAGAUUAAGUGGCAGUCAUAGUAGAUUGAUCUGUUCAGUGUGACUUUGAGUUGGAAAUGCAGGAUGAAUUUAUCCUUUUUUUGGUUGUAAUGUAAAACUUCGUCUUUUAAAUGCAAUGUAUACCAGAUUUCAGAUUCUA